AGAAAGGAAGACAAAACAGGCUUGGCGCCCAGCGUGUUAAACAUCAGUGUACGAAACGCAUGCACAGGUUAUUCAUGGCAGCAUUGCUUGGAAUAAUAAAGGAGCAGAAACUACCGUUUAAAGAAAAUCAGAAGAGUUAAAUAAGCUUUUAACCAUGCCCGAUGCUACUCUAGUCAACUAUUAAAAAGAACGGAAAGGGCAUCACGGUUGGGUAUGUGCGAUCUAUGUGAUGGAUUAUUAAGUGGCGCAUCGAUUUCAGAAUUCCCAGAUCUUGGAACAGAACACACAGGAGGCUGCUGGGUGGUUGCUCGGAGAAGAGGAAACAGGCCUGGAAUAAAAUCAACCAAAGAACCUAAUGCAAGCAGAAUCUUCUUUUUUCCCCCCUCCCCAGUUAUUUUUUUCUGAUGAUAACAAUCCUUCUCGUAUUCAUUUUACAAAAUACAAAGAAAAAAAUCAAAAUUACCGAUGAUUCCAUCAUCCUAAGAUAAACACCUAAUAAUACUUUACUGUCUUUUGUGCCAAAUAUUUUAUGUCUAUAUAUUUUCCCUCACAAUUUGUUAUAAUAAUGUUAUGGUCAUAAGGAAACCCCUCUAAUGUGUGGAAAUAAUUAUUGUGUGAAAUAAUUAAUGUGUGAAAUGUUUGCUGUGUGAAGACCCCCAUACUCUGUAACUUCCAAAAUGUGGUGAACGCCCCACUAUCUCGAUGUGAAUGCCCUGAGCCCUUAGCGUAAACACCCUGCUCCUAGCAAAGGCACGCCGUCUGGCCCACACUGAUAAGACACAGUUGUUUACUACGGCUAUAUAAGCGCCAGAGUUCCUCCAGCCGAUGUCUCCUGCCUGAGAGGAGGACUCCACGUCACUCGGUGAGACAAGCCCCGGAGUGACUGCUCUGCUGUGUGAGCCUGAACCAGCUGCGGCCGCCUGUCUGUCUCUGUCUUCGUCGUCUGUCUUUUGGUGUGCGUCUCCGGGUGGCCUUUGCUGGAGCCUGGGACCCACUAGGAAUAGGAGGCACAUUCUAACCUGGCUGGCAGCCGCCCUCUGGACCUGGGGGCUCACCUGGGAAUGCAGCCCGCCCUCCCCAUUUGGAGCUGCCUGUUAUCUUGGAAAGAUGAACAACUCUGCUGCAGAAACCAGAAUCGCCAGCCCCUCCAAGAUCCCAGUCCUUGCAUAUCUGUAAACUGUCCAUUUGCCCUUUCGCCUGCUUUCCUUUGUACUUCUACCAAUCUAAGCAGUCGGCUUAUGGUAGGGUCCAGAGCAGAUUUUUGUGGAAGACCUGCUGCUCUCCCAUACUGCCAGCAAUAUUGGAAUAAACGCUCACAGAUGAUUCAACCCUGUCUCUGCUGAAUUGGCUCAAGUAGUGACAGGCAGCACGGACCCAUUGUUUGUCUGAUUACACAUUCAAUUUCUUUCUAUAGACUCCUUUACACCAGCAUCCCUGUGUCACACACACCCCCCCCCCCCCGCCCCCGCCCCAGUCUAUACAGCAUAAAGAGUGUUCUUCUCCUUUGUUCUCUGGACUUGCAUGUGUACCCCAUUAGACCACACAUCCUGAAUUUCAAUUCUUUGUUAUUCCCAAAUAAAACCAUUUUGCUGGAGAAAUAGCUGGCUAUUUAUUAAAG